rnacentral:rRNA from 1 species
GACGAACGCUGGCGGCGUGCUUAACACAUGCAAGUCGAACGGAACUCUUUGGAUCAAGGCUUCGGCCAAGUGAAUUUGAGUUUAGUGGCGGACGGGUGAGUAACGCGUGAGGAACCUGCCUUUCAGAGGGGGACAACAGUUGGAAACGACUGCUAAUACCGCAUAACGCGUAGAGGUCGCAUGGCCUUUACGCCAAAGAUUUAUCGCUGAAAGAUGGCCUCGCGUCUGAUUAGCUAGUUGGUGAGGUAACGGCCCACCAAGGCGACGAUCAGUAGCCGGACUGAGAGGUUGACCGGCCACAUUGGGACUGAGAUACGGCCCAGACUCCUACGGGAGGCAGCAGUGGGGAAUAUUGGGCAAUGGGCGCAAGCCUGACCCAGCAACGCCGCGUGAAGGAAGAAGGCUUUCGGGUUGUAAACUUCUUUGUCGAGGAAGAGUAGAAGACUGUACUCGGCGAAUAAGCCACGGCUAACUACGUG